AUUUACUCCUUUCCCUUCUCUUCCAAUUUUGACGCGCGGUCGCCGCUGGGAGAGAGUAAGUGGGCGAAAGGCAGCGAUGCCAGGUGGAGCGAGCGCUGCCAUCUUCCUCUCGAUCUUAUUUCCACCGACGAGGUGCAGGAGGGCCAAGAACCGAUGCGAGCGGGUGGAUCCUUCGGUCCUUCCUCAAGCAGUCAGGCAUCCCUUCAUCGGUGCUUGGGCUCAUCUCUGGAGUGGUGGCGACAAGAAUAGCAUGGGCUCAUAUCUUGGGGGUGGCGCGUCGGCGUCACGCAGACCCGGCAACGGCGCGAGCAGUACUAGACUUGAGCUACCUGAGCUCGUAUCUGGAGUUGCCGCAGGGGUGGAGGUGCUGGUCGAGUAGAGAUCCAAUGGCUGGCCUCCUUUACUUACACCAUGGCCAACUUGUGGAGGUCCACGAGCUGCGAAGCAUCCUUCAUCGACCCGUUCCCCAGAACCACUGUUCAGUUUCAGUAAGAGAGCAUACAGUUCAAGUGAUUAGCAUGACAGAAGCUGGUUCACUAGAUUGGGGAUAUUAAGAGGAAGUUAAGUAUUUUUUUUUCAUAAUUCCAAAUUAGCAACUAUGUGCGUUAUUGUUUGAUUAGUCCGUCAUUGUCCCUAAAUUGUUUAGACUCAUGGCUUUGUGCUAUUCUGUUUUGGUCAGUCAUUAUCACUGCAUUGUUUAGCAAAUUAGGCAAUAGGCUAGGCUGAUAUAUGUGCACACUAGCACCAGACUGGUUGACAAAGUUCUAGCUAUAUGUGAACUUACAUCUCCUUUGUCUAAUUUCUGCGUAAAUAUACUCGUCAAUAGGCUAGGCUGCUAUCGGCCUGUGUCUUGUAUGUCUGUAUUUUUGGAUCCCAUGAACUGCAUCUCUAUGCUUACUGUUUCCGAUGGUCAGUGGAGUUUGUUACAUCUAUUUAUUUUAAUGGUAGUUACUCUUAUGUAAUAUUUUGUUUAUUGGAUGCAAAUACCGAUGGGAUGUUCAUGGUUGCUUAGUAGCUCAUGUUGGCUUUUUAGGUGCUCUCUUUAUGUGGUCAUCUAGCUCGCCUGGGCAAAAGUGAAACUCAUGCUUUGUACGGUUACAUGCAAGAAUUCAAUAUUAGAUAAGCACGUGUAAAUCAUUGCUAAAUUGGUCAUUAUGCAGUCUAGUUGCUGCCUUGUCAUCUUAAUUUCCCAAAUUGAAUGGCUAGUUACCUGAUUACCUGCAGUUCCUUUUUUUUGCACUGUAGUUCCAUUUGCAGCCAUUCUUCAGUCAAACUUGAAAUUCUUAGUCAACAAUGAAAUAAUCUCACAUUUGCAUUCUUUCCUGAAACUUGUAACUGAGAACUGGAGUCACCCUAGUGCUGGUUGAAUAUUAAUAAAGCUGUGACCUGAAACUAUAGCUCUAUUGGUAGUUACUUCUGAAACUUUUAGUAGUUCACUUCUAAAUUUGUUCUUACUACAACAAUGCAGGAACAAGAGCCUGUGGGUGUUGGACAUUCAGACAUGUUCCCAGAUCUCAUAUCUUUCUAUGUUGGAACUUGUAUGAGAAAUGAUGGAAGAUUGCUGCAAAUGUCAUCAUAUAUAGGUAGUGGUAUUGGAAGAGAUUUAGUAAUUGGGUGCAGGUGUUUACUCCUUGCUGCUAUGAGAGUUUGUACGAGUAUAUAAUAUAUUGUAUAUUACCAUGUCAAAUGUGAUGGGAUAUAUAAAUUAUGUAUUUGAAUUCAUUAAUCUGGGCAAUGGUGAUUUGAAUUUGGUUCUU